GUGGAAGUCUUCACUGACAUUCCUACUAUGCUGAAGCAGUAUACUACGUUUUUUUACACACACAAGAGUCAUUGAAUGUAUAUUUUAUUUCUUAUGAUAAAAACAACUUUCAACAACGGAUCUCUUGGCUCUCGCAUCGAUGAAGAACGUAGCGAAUUACGAUAUGUAAUGUGAAUUGCAGAAUUCAGUGAAUCAUCGAAUCUUUGAACGCACCUUGCGCUCUUUGGUAUUCCGAAGAGCAUGCCUGUUUGAGUGUCAUGAAUCUCUCAAAUAAAAUGAUUUAUUUUGAAUCGUUAUUAUUUGGACUUGGAAGUUUGUCGGCGCAAGUCGACUCUUCUUAAAUGCAUUAGCUGGGGUUUAUAUAGUUGGAUCCUUGGUGUGAUAAUUAUCUACGCCUUGAAGUCCCUGUAGACUCUGCUUCAAAUCGUCUCUACUGUUGAGACAAUAUUUAAUCAUCGACCUCAAAUCAGGUAGGAUACCCC
rnacentral:rRNA from 1 species